ensembl:lncRNA
CACAUUUUGAACAACACCAUGGGAAUUUCGGAUUUUACACAGGUGGUUGGAUGUUACACUCUGGAAAUGGAAGGAAGGUCUGACUACUGCAACUCCCUCUUUCUGGCACUGAGGAAAAGUGGCUCUCGAUCUCACCUCAAACAGAAUUCAGCAGCUCAGCUUCUUACUGGGUUUUCAAACAUCCAAAUCUUGGCUUCCUUCCACUGGAUCUCUGUUUGUUUUAGAAUUUUUUUGCACAAAAUUUCACUGAUCACUUCUCAAGCAGAAAUCUUGAAUCUCAAGUGGGGCUUGUCUGGGACUUAAAUGUAAAGGUGACCCUGCUUCUGCCUCAGCUAUGGGAAAAUCUGCUUUUGGAGAUAAGGCUUUCAUAUUAACUUCACUUAUUAAAACAUGUUUUUUAUAGAUGUGCCUUUUCUGUUGCUCUCAUUUUAAUGGGUUUUUUUUUGUUAUUAUUGAUUUUAAUGUUUC